AUUGAACGCUGGCGGCAUGCCUUACACAUGCAAGUCGAACGGCAGCACGGGAGCAAUCCUGGUGGCGAGUGGCGAACGGGUGAGUAAUAUAUCGGAACGUGCCCAGUAGUGGGGGAUAACUGCUCGAAAAAGCAGCUAAUACCGCAUACGACCUGAGGGUGAAAGGGGGGGAUCGCAAGACCUAUCGCUAUUGGAGCGGCCAAUAUCAGAUUAGCUAGUUGGUGGGGUAAAGGCCUACCAAGGCAACGAUCUGUAGUUGGUCUGAGAGGACGACCAGCCACACUGGGACUGAGCCACGGGCCAGACUCCUACGGGAGGCAGCAGUGGGGAAUUUUGGACAAUGGGCGCAAGCCUGAUCCAGCAAUGCCGCGUGCAGGAAGAAGGCCUUCGGGUUGUAAACUGCUUUUGUCAGGGAAGAAAUCCUCUAGGUUAAUACCCUUGGGGGGAUGACGGUACCUGAAGAAUAAGCACCGGCUAACUACGUGCCAGCAGCCGCCGUAACAC
rnacentral:rRNA from 1 species